CGCCAUUUGAACUGUAUAUUUUCUAUAUUAUUGUCGUGUUCGGAUAACGUGUAUAGCAUAUGGCAAUUGGAUGGUGUUUCACAAUAUAUAUACACCCUUUGUUUUGGUCAGUGACCUCAUAAAACACAUAAACGAGCUAACACUCAACCCAACAAAUAUUUAAAUACAUCAACGAAUUCAAAUUAAAAAAAUGUUGCCUUUGACGAGGGUCGACGAUAUUACCCCUUAUGAUAGAAAUCGAAACUUUUGUGUACAGGUUUUAGUUUUUUGGUUCGAAAAUUUUGGCAGACCUAACCAGAAUUUGAAGAUGAUUCUUGCGGAUUUAGAGGUUAAACACUACUUUCACGUUCAACAUUUUAUUUUUAUAGUGAUUUGCCUUACAUACUUUAUGUUUAUCUUAUUCUUAUUAUUUAGGAGACUAAGAUUGAUGAUGCUACUAUUACCGGUGGUCCGUUUGACCAUGUUAAUAUAACUGGCUUGAGGAAAGACACGUGGUACUUUCUAUCUGAUUUUUUGGUUCUGUACUUGCCGGAUUUGAUGAGUAACAUGUCCAAUAUGUUCCGUAUAUGGUUCCAUCGACCAACUAAAAUGACCAGCACGUAUGAGCGGUCACCAUGUAAGUGUAUUGAGCCUGAAAAAUUUAGCCGCAUAAGGGGAUGGAGAAUCAUGACCGAAAUUCCGAUUGGUACGUUUUAUGAUUUCUAUUUUUUAUUUGUUUGGUUCUAAUGAAACAAUGAGAUAGCUAAUAAAUCGAAUACUUUAAACCUAGAUACGGUGGGAUUUAUCGUUUAUAUCGACUGACUUAUACGGAUCCCUUAUGUUUCUGGAUAAUACGAAAGGGAUGGUGGAUGUAACUGUGUCUACUUCAUCUUACAGAAUCAUAGGGGAUUGAAAUUGAGAUGUUGCGCUGUAGGAGAUUUGGCCGACUAUUUUAUGAGAGUAUAGGUAAACCGAGAAUAUGGUCAUUCGUACCUUCGUGAUCCUGUAUUUUGUGUUUUGAGGUUUUGGCAUGUUGAAGAGUAUAAAGAAAAACCAUGUCUCAUGAAUAGAGUUGGAUGCUCUAGAUUUUAUCUUGACCCGGAGUUUGACGAACUUGAGGAGAUCAAAGAACGGUAAUAUUUAGUAUUUAUAAUCAUAUAUUUGUUGGAUAUACGUAAUUCAUACGUGUAAUGACCUAUUAAAUUUAUGUAUGUAGUACACUCUCCACAGCUUAUGCUUGGGCCGCUACGAAUUCAAGAUGUUCCGGUUCAGAUGAUUGAGUGAUCAUGGAAUUUUCUACAAAAAUGAUCGAUGAGUCUUGUGUUGUUAUGGGUUUUAUGGACUGUCUAAAUACUUAUUUUUAGAGACAGUAUGCUUGAUCUUUUGUAAUAUUAUGGUCGAAUUUUAAAAUCUCAUAACUAUGUUCUAUCAUCAAAAUUUAAAUAUUUUUUUGUAAUAAAUUCUUGGCCGCGUAAGGCGCG